rnacentral:lncRNA from 1 species
CUACUGUUAGUUACUGAAAUUUCAAUUAAAUAUGUUGCUGCAAGUUUUAAUUUGAUGAUGAUGAUAUCUUAGGAGGUAAACAAGAAGGAAAAUUAUUUACUCAUAUGAGGGACUCAUGAUAAAAUAUGGAAGUUAAAGGGAAAUAUGGUAUAAUCAUAAAUGAAUCUUUGUGAUAGAUGGUUAUAUUGCAACUUGUAUUCCCCAAUGGUAUAAGGCCUGUAAUUAAGGGCUUUUUCAGUACUGGAUAAAUAGGAGAGGAGUACUUUAUAAGACAGUAGCUGUAAAGUCAUGUUGGAGAACUCAUUAUUGCUUUUGCCUCCAAAACUUACAUAAGAUCUUUUCCUAGGUGUUUGAGGACUGGGACAGAUGGAGGAUAAAGAAAUACAACUGUGCUUUUGGCGACAGAGUACAGUUUGAAUCUCAAGAGGAAAGAGGAGACACAACAAUUAGAAUCACUAGAGAGUUUCAUGAAGGGUGUGAGAAGGUCUCAGGUAACAACCAGAAAUAUUGCAGAGCCCAUGGAUUAGCUACAGUAGGAAGCUAUUACCACCACCAGGCUUCUGUGGAAAAGGUAAGAGUGUGUCUGAGGGAAGACUGGGUAAUGGAAGAAAGGGUACUCAACAGAGCCUAUGGUUUCAGAGAGAGGCAGUCAGUACCAGAACUGAGGAAGGAUGUGGAGAAGAAAUAUCCUUAUCAGUCUUUCCUCCCAUCCUAUAAUCUACUGCUGCUGCCCUCCAUUGGCUGAAUCCAAACUGAAGCCAAAAGUCAGGAAACCCCAGGUAAUGCAGUGCACAGGGGACCACUCUAUAGAACACAGAACAAACAAAAGAAAAGAAUAGCAGAAAAUCAGUGUAUGGGGAAGCAGGAAGUGACAAAUGGAGAUUAGCCAAUACACUUCACAUAUUUUGCAACUCAGAGUCUAUUUUUUUUUUUUUUUUUUUUUUUUUUACAGCCACAUCUGCCAGGAAGUUCCUAGGCCAGGUGUCAAAUCAAAGCUGCAGCUGCCACAUAUGCCACAGCUUAUGGCAACAACAGAUCCAUAACUCAC